rnacentral:rRNA from 1 species
GACGUAGGGCGCGAGCGUUGUCCGGAUUUAUUGGGCGUAAAGAGCUCGUAGGCGGCUUGUCGCGUCGAAUGUGAAAUCUCAGGGCUCAACUCUGACAUUGCAUUCGAUACGGGCAGGCUAGAGUUCGGUAGGGGAGACUGGAAUUCCUGGUGUAGCGGUGAAAUGCGUAGAUAUCUGGAGGAACACCGGUGGCGAAGGCGGCAUCCUGGACCAACACUGACACUGAUGAGCGAAAGCCAGGGGAGCAAACGGG